rnacentral:tRNA from 1 species
GCGGAUGUAGCUCAAUGGCAGAGCCCCAGCCUUCCAAGCUGGUGACGCGGGUUCGAUACCCGUCAUCCGCUCGA